rnacentral:lncRNA from 1 species
AUGGAGCGCUCAGAGAUAAAGCAACUAAUAAGCGGGCUCCUGGGAACGCAGCAGAGUCCUCCGCCAGCCGGCGGGCCCACGUGGCGCGUGCGAGCCAGUGGGGUGACAGCUGGGGACCCACUUGUCCCGCCCUCUCGCGUCACCUCAUCUCCGCUCUCCGCCCCAUCACCUGAGCCGAGCAGCGCGUCGAGGACAGCCAAGCGCCGGCAACCAGGCAGUGAAAGUGGCGGCCACAUCCUCGGCUCGUCUCCUUGCUUACCCUGGACCCUCGCCCUCUUCUCGCCGCUGCCAGCAGAUCCGACCCUCAGUCUCUGGGCUGCGCAGAGCGCCGUAACCGCCUCCACCGGCUUCUCGCUUACCCCAGCCAGCUCUAGCUACAGCCAAGAAAACUCUGCCCUGCUCCAGCCCUACAACUUGGACAUCACCUAUGGCCCCUUUUAAGAUGGCAACUCAGUCAAUACCUUUCCACUGCCCCCCAGGUAAUGCCCCAGAGGGUGAGUAUUCACAGACAGCCUGGAGGGGACAUUCCU